AUUGAACGCUGGCGGCAGGCCUAACACAUGCAAGUCGAGCGAGCGGCGGACGGGUGAGUAAUUUCUGGGCAACUGCCUGAUGGAGGGGGAUAACUACUGGAAACGGUAGCUACUACCGCAUACCAUCCUCUGUGCCCAGAUGGGAUUAGCUAGUGGGUGGGGUAAUGGCUCACCUAGGCGACGAUCCCUAGCUGGUCGGAGAGGAUUACCAGCCACACUGGAACUGAGACACGGCCCAGACGCCUACGGGAGGCAGCAGUGGGGAAUAUUGGACAAUGGGCGAAAGCCUGAUGCAGCCAUGCCGCGUGAGUGAAGAAGGCCUUCGGGUUGUAAAGCACUGUCAGCGGGGAAGCGUUACCCGCAGAGGAAGCACCGGCUAACUCCGUGCCAGCAGCCGCGGUAAUUC
rnacentral:rRNA from 1 species